rnacentral:rRNA from 1 species
AGAGUUUGAUCCUGGCUCAGAACGAACGCUGGCGGCGUGGAUAAGACAUGCAAGUCGAGCGGGAUCUUCGGAUCCAGCGGCGAACGGGUGAGUAACACGUGAGCAACCUGCCGCGGAGUUGGGGAUAGCUCGCCGAAAGGCGAAUUAAUACCGGAUGUGACCAGUCGAGGCAUCUCGAUGAAGUUAAAGCAGUAAUGCGCUCCGCGAUGGGCUCGCGUCCCAUCAGCCUGACGGUGGGGUAACGGCCUACCGUGGCGAUUACGGGUAGCCGGCUUGAGAGGGUGACCGGCCACACUGGAACUGAGACACGGUCCAGACACCUACGGGUGGCAGCAGUCGAGAAUCAUUCGCAAUGGGGGAAACCCUGACGAUGCGACGCCGCGUGGAGGAUGAAGGCCCCAGGGUCGUAAACUCCUGUCAUCAGGGAGUAAGAUCGUAGUGAUACGGUUUGACAGUACCUGGAGAGGAAGGGGCGGCUAACUCUGUGCCAGCAGCCGCGGUAAGACAGAGGCCCCAAGCGUUGUUCGGAUUCAUUGGGCGUAAAGGGUGCGCAGGCGGCGCGGAAAGUCCGGUGUGAAAUCUGGCGGCUCAACCGUCAAAUGGCACUGGAUACUUCCGCGCUUGAGGACUGGAGAGGAGACUGGAAUUCACGGUGUAGCAGUGAAAUGCGUAGAUAUCGUGA